rnacentral:rRNA from 1 species
UACGGAGGGUGCAAACGUUGCUCGGAAUUACUGGGCGUAAAGCGCGUGUAGGCGGCAAGCCAAGUCGGGUGUGAAAGCCCUGGGCUCAACCCAGGAAGUGCAUUCGAUACUGGCAAGCUAGAGUCCCGGAGAGGAUGGUGGAACUCUCGGUGUAGAGGUGAAAUUCGUAGAUAUCGAGAAGAACACCGGUGGCGAAGGCGGCCAUCUGGACGGUGACUGACGCUGAGACGCGAAAGCGUGGGGAGCGAACCGG